CAAACUCCUGGGUUCAAGUGAUUCACCCACUUUAGCCUCUCAAAGUUCUGGGACUGCAGAUGUGAGCCACAGUGUCUGGCCUAGCAAUUAUUCUUAACUGCAGUGUAGUUUCUGAGGGCAAAGUCAGUUUUGGACUUAAUUUAUGUUUAUUUAAAAAGGAUAUUUUUCUACUUUUUCCUUUCUCACCUCAAGUGCCAGCAAACUAGAGCUGAAAAGUCUUCAAAUCUAUUGGCCUCCUGUGCUUUUCACUGUUUAUUGUCUCUUCAACAGGCACUCUCCCUCUUCCUUCUAUGACAAGGACCCUGAUUCGACACGGCUGCCCAUGUUCCCAGCUCCAGGAGAUAAACGAAGUCAAACCUAAGCCACUCAUGACAAAUUUGUCUCCUGUGUAAUUGGUCUAGGCACAAGCACAUGACCCAUUUAUAGACAAUGAGACAGGCCCUUGUUGAAUUAGAACACUGCUGCUAAAAUUGAAAGCAUGAGAGAAAGCAAAAGCUGUUGGACCUCUUAUAGACGGUGACUGGAAUCAUCACAGUGACCCGUUACCACCUUCUCUUGUUCAAGGUGGCCGAGGAGGCCGUCGGAGGACCACAAAGCUGCAAGUGGCUUUCCUGCGGCCUGCAGGGAACAGGUGGAGGACACUUGGAAGGGCACCCACCCCGGGUCUCACAGGAGUCUGCACCCGCAGGUCACACUGGCAUUAGCCCCUCAUCCUCUGGAGUUCAUCUCAUCCAGGCGAAGACAGCUGGCUGGCCUCAGAGGGUGAGACGCAACUCGAGGGUAAAAACAUUUUUACAGGGCAUGGACACAAAAGUGGCCUUUACCUCUGGAUAAGCUUUUAAAACUUCCCAUUUACAUGUAAAGGUGUACUUUCUAUGUGCCACCAAGAAACCUAAAGUGAGUAAAAGGUGUUUCACUUUAAUCAAGUUCCCCAAUGAGGGGGCACAGCUCUGAAAAGCACUGUCACAACAGGAGAUUCGAGGGUGCAUGCAAAGCAAUGUUUCUAGAAAAUGCCAAAGGAAACAGACACAACUCCAGUGUGGACUCCCGCUUCCCUGCACUGCUGCUCCAUCCUCAGGGCGGAGGCCACAUCGUCCAGCUAGCUGUGAGAACCUCAUCAUGCUCCUUGAUUGUGUGCAGCAGGUGUCUGCUGAAGUCCUCCACACUCUGCCUGUCUCAUCCGCUGAGCAGUGCCUCCUCCCGAUUCAGCACGUCCCUGGUGCCGACUUUCUGCACGUGUUCACUUUGAGGCUGCAUUGUGGGCCUGCAAGAAAUGCAAAGCUGGUUGAGGCUUUAUUCAAUUCAAAUUCAAGCUGUUAAAUCGAGGCUCUCAGACUCCUGCUGCCUGGCCAGUGGAGAAAUUAACUUUCACAUAUGGCUUUGGGAUUUCUCUCUGUCAUCCUGGUCGACGUGUUCUCUCAUUUUUCUGAAGUCUGGGACCUCAACACAGACAUCUGGGUGAAGGCCUUGACAGCAGCGCUGGUGCAAAAUGAAUUGUCACAUCACACCCAACGUUCUCAACCUUUAGAAUCUGAAAGUAAGAAAAACACCUCAAACAAAACAUUAAAGAUUGAAUAAUUGAAGGCACUAUGCUUGGUGCUGAAGAAGGUCUAAGGAGGUCUACACCACAGAGGCUGCACCCACUCCUCAGCCUUGCUGAGCCACACCAUUCUCAUCUCUACAGCAUCCACCUCUCUUGGCUCUUGUAAGGAUUGAGACAUGCCACCAGGCUUACUGUAAGCACUGAACAGCUGGGAGGAUUUGAUGCUGUCCCACUGCCAUACCAAGGGGCAAGUUUUCUGGACUUGCCUAGACCUUAUAGCAGAUUAAGUACUUUUAUUUCACUGAACAAAGUUUAGAGAUCAUUUUACAUCACUGAACAAAGUUUAGAGAUUUGGAGAGUAUUUGUUUUUAAUUUCUAUGGAUCUGCUUAUACUUCUCUUUUGCAAAUUGAAACACCGUGGAAGAUUUUUUGGAACUUAGGUUGAGAGUUGUACAUGGCUUCAGAGUUGCUGUGGAUUUCUAUCUCCAUGGGGCCAUCUGUCUCAUCUGUCUAUAUAAUGGUCAUGCACUUUGCAGAGCCUGCUUCAAUGUCUGCUAUACUAUGGCCACUCUGCCAGUGUUGUUGACAAACAGAUGGGUUUUGAUGGCAGAGAAACUUAUAUUUAGCAAGUCUUCCUUUUGCCCUUGAACUUUUCCACCUGUUGUUUGCACCAGCAACUCCCAUGGCAAAUGUGAAAAAGCAAAAAAUAAGGAAUAUUACAAGAUGGGACUAACAUUAAAAUGUAUGUUUUCAUCAAACAUGAUCAAGAACCUACCGAUGAUUGAAGAUUGAUUCUGAGUAAUCAGCACAGAUUUCUAAAAGAAACUUUAUGGGAUGCUGAGACAUGAAUAAAAACAACUUUAUUCCUUUGGAAAGGACAACCCACAUGCUAAGAAGAUGACACUACACGUUGUUAUAGCCCGAAAGGCCCUCUUUCCACAGGGGAGCAGUGAAAAGUAGAGGUUGCCCAUGUGGAUUCCCAAGUCAGAUAGAUGUGGAUUCAGAUCCCAGCUCUGCUGCUUGCUACCCAAGAGACCAUGGACUGUGGACUCUUUAGGUCUCAGGGUUUUUGUUUGUUGUCUGUUUUUCACUUCCAAAACCAGAAAAUGAGAAGAUAUUUUCCAUAAGAUGGCGGUGGUGAGUAAAUGUAAUUAUAUGUCUAAAGCUAUGGGCAUGAAAGCUUGGCACACAUUUAAGUAAGUGCUUGAUAAAUGUUAAUUCUUACAACUAUUGGUAUCAUUUAGAUUUAGGUUGCUGAGUUAGUGGGAAAUAAUGUCCUUAUCAUGUGAGGAAUCCCUAUUCUCAAAAGGGGUUAUUAUCAUUAGAAUGCUAACUGUUUUCAAAACAGCUAAUUGACCAUUUUAUUCAGAAGCACCAUCUGCUACUCAUUAGGGUCUAGGUUUCUGUCAGCUCACGGGUGCCCAUAUGUGAGUUGAUAACCCUAUUUCAGUCUUGGUUGUUGAAUCCUCAGUGUCUGCGGUUGACUGACUAUCAGGUAUUUGCAUCUCUGAAAGUAAUUUUCAGCAGUGAGUUUUUAGUUAGGUUCUUUGGUUACAGUUCUGGAUAAUUAACACUAAAAUGAGACAUCUUAGAAGGCUUUGGCUCAGAUAAUUGAGAGAAGUGAAUGUUGAACAAGAUUCAGGAAGGGAAGAGCUGGGAUACCCCAAUGUCUGGAUUUCAUGCUCUUUUUCUCCAAGCACAUCCACUGUGGGGCUUGGCCUCAAUCCCCUAGAUGUCUUCAAUAUAAUCUUCAAUUGUCAGGAGAAGAGAACUUGAUGGACCUUGCUUGGACAAAAUGCCUUCACCGCUAACUCAGUCAGCUAUGGCGAUGGGUCAAGGACCUGGUGGUUUUACAGAGAAGACCCUUGGUCAAAUCUUUGUGAAUGAAGCAACCAUUCUGAUGUUCAAUAACAGGGUAAGUGCUGGCCAAUGAUGUCAUUAUCGUCCAUCCUGUGGCUUCCACACAUCAGUGAUCUUAUUAGAUACCUGCAAUUUCAACCCACUAUAUCAGAAUUCCAUAGGAAUGAGUUGUUUUUAAAGUUCUUCAGAGUGAAUUUGGAUGCUCAGUCAUUAUAAAGAACUAUCUUCAUCCUACAAAGACUGGUGUUUUUUCUUUCCUUGUUUAUCUUGGAAUUUUUUUCCAAUUGCAGCCUUGAAAACCAUUUCCAAUAAUGUCAGAAUUUGCUUAAAAGAUUGUGAAAGACGGUAAUCUGGAUUGUAAUACUGGGUCAAAGAGACCAUACCAGGAGCCAACCAUGCUAAAUCUAACUUUAAAAUACAGAAUUACAAUGUUAAGACAAGUUCCAUAGAGUGAUAAGGUCUAUGUGGUACUUACUAUUUUACACACAUUUUCCUACACUUAGUGUAACUGUCUCCUAAUUAAAUGCAAUUGUUUUAAAUUAGCUGAUGUGUGUUUUAUGUGAUAUAGCUUUAUAUCCUAAGCCAGAAUAAAAAUAUUCUGAGAGUG
rnacentral:lncRNA from 10 species